rnacentral:piRNA from 1 species
UGGCCAGGAACAGCUCCCAGGGAAGGG